AAUUUUCUCCGUGUGGAUUGAAGCAACAAAAUCAAGGUUAGCUUUAUUCGAUUUUUCAGCGUUUUUGGUGUUGAUUGUAGAGGGGAUUUCGUCGAUUAGAGUUAGGGUUCCGUUUGUUCAUUCAGGGUUCUGAAAUCCUGUUUUUCUCAAUUGGUAGAGGGUUUUUUGUAACCGUGAGUGAUUGUUGUUUCAGAAUCAGUGUUGUAGUAAUUUGUUUCUAUGAUUUUGUGAUUAGGUCUUUUUUCCCUACUUUCUCUGUAAAUUUUUGUGCUUUCUUAGCACAUAAACCCUAGUUUUUUUUUUCGGUGUAAUUGACAACGCAGUUUUAGGAUUUGGGUAAAUUGAAUUGGUGGUUUUCUUUGAGCAAUUUGGAAGAAUUGGAAGUAGGGGAUCUGUGAUUGUUCUGCAUCUGUGGGUUUUUCUUUAGUGUGUGUUUGCGGAAAAUUGAAUUGGGGGGUUUCUUUGAGGAAUUUGGAAGAAUUGUAAGUAGGGAUUCCGUGUUUGUUCUGAAGUUGUGGGUUUUUCUUUUAUGUGAGUUUCAAGAAGCAAAAUCAGUGGUGUUGUAUUUUGUGAACUAGGAUUCUGAAUGGGGUUGUUCUUUUGUAUGUGAUUGAAGAUGCAAUUUUGUUUUUAGGAAUCUGGAAAGGAGUUUCUGAGUGAUUUUUUAGGAGAUUCUAUAGUUUCUGAAGAGCUUGCUUUGUGGAUUGUUUUACCAUCCUCUGUGAAGGUGUAAUUAGUGUUUUGUUGUAUGGUAAUUUGAGUUUUCAGUGAUGUUGAAACCUUAAAUUCCCAUACACUAAACUCUAAUUUUUAUUUUUAAGUUGCGAUUUAUUCUUGGGUUGCGACAGUUGAAGUAAAGGUUAGGUCAGUUAUUUCAUCAUCAUCUUGUGAAGAUGUCGUGUAAAAGAUCAAGAUCUGUAUCUUCACAACCAAGAACAAGAUCAAGUCCUCUAUCUUCACAAUAUCUUGUGGGUUCAUCUAGUGCAGUGCAGGUUGAAUCUUCUACCAAUUCUCAAUCUCCAUCAACCGGCACAGAUAAUGAUCCUGAUGAUGACGUAUACUGCCAUUGUCCUUUCAAGCACUUCGAUGACUGCCAUGAUGGUGUAGGGGGAAGGGGUUACGUAAAAAACUCCAUCCUCAGGCAUAUACAUGAUUGACACAACCCAAGCACCAAAUACAGUUCUGUCUGUCAGGAUAGAAUACACACAGUGGUAAUUGUAUACAUAGCUUGGGAAAGGAUUUUGCGUCAAUUGCAUAUGUGGUUGUGUGUUCCAUGCAUGCAGGUUUAUUCUUGGAAAAAACCCUGCAAAGAUCAUGCUGGUGAGGCUAUUUUUGGUCCUUUUAAUGGCAGAGGUGCAGAUUUUCUCAUCUACAGUGUUGAUAAACCCGCACCACAAAUUCAUGCAUCUCUUGUGCAAGCCAGACCUGUAAGUGACAAUAACAUUCCUGUCGGUUCAACCCUUGAAGAUUCUUCUUUGGGUAUAUCAGUGGAGAUUCUCAACCUGGUUUACCAGAAACAGAUAACAAUAAUCUCCAGCAUCCCUACACAAUGCAGGCUUAAUUUCUCUAGAACCCUAAAAUCCUCUCUAGAUAAAGUUUUAGCCCACCCCAAGGAUUUAUGUUCAUGGCUUCAGUUGCUCCUAUUGCCUAACUGCACCCUAAACCUUUAUUUUCCUAAAAUUUCCAAAGAGGAGAGUCUGGCAACAGGAAAAGACUUCAAACUGCUUCAGUGAAUCAGGCCCUAGCCAGAUGGAAGGAACCAGAGGGUUGUAUUGCUUUGUUACAACAAGUUCUGCAAGAACAUGGAGAGGUUCAAAAGAGCAGGAAACAGGGUAAACAGAAACGGAAAACCAAUGCCGAGGCUUGCAAAAAGAAGCUCAGUCAUGGUCACUAUACUGCGGCUAUUAGGAUCUUAUCCUCUAACGGUGUUGCACAUGAUAACCCAGACACCCUAUACCAACCGCAACAGAAACACCCUCAUGCACCCUCCCUACUAUCCCUAUAGACACUAUUACGACUGCAUCUGUUGUUGUGGGUAGUCAAAAGUUUUGAAGGAUAUUCGGAGUUUUUCUAAAGGUACCUCUUGCAGGAGAGAUGGUCUCCGUGCUCAACACUAUUGGACGCAUUGAGUGGUCCUGGAGCGGCAGUUUCUGAAGAACUGCUCACCUCAAUUGUUGGUGUUGUUAAUUUGUGGUUAUCUAGAGUUUGUCCUGCUGUUUUAGGGCCAUACAUUUCCAAUGCACCUUUAACCCCAUUGCUUAAGCCUGAUGGUGAACUCAGUCCUACCGCAGUAGGGAUAAUUUGGAGGCGACUUUAUUCUAAAAUUGCAGCUACCACAGUUGAAAGUGAAAUGGCCAAUUAUCUUGGUGAUCAUCAAUUUGGCGCUGGGAUCCCUUGUGGUGGUGAAAGCAUUCUUCACGCUGCCAAUCGGAUGUUAAAACUGAAAGCUCAAGGAGUAUAACAAGGCGACCCCUUGGACCACUUAUUUUUUCUUUGGUUCUACAUCCACUAGUUCGCAAAAUUGCUACGCACUUCUCCUUGGAUAUGCACGCGUGGUAUCUCGACGAUGACACUAUCAUAGGAGAUACUAUGGAGGUGUCUAAAGCUCCUAAGAUCAUUCAGAAAGAAGGUGCUUCACAUGGGCUACAUUUGAACAUCAGGAAGAUGGAGAUUUCAUGGCCUGCUGUAGAUCCAAGAAGCCUCAUGGCAUAUGUCUUCCUUGUGAGCAUUAGUAAGCCCUCUAAUGGGGUUAAACUUCUUGGAGGACCUGUUAGCCUUGACAUCCAAUUUUGCAGCGAUAUGGUCAAGUUCAGAGCCAAUAAAACUGUCCAUCUGAUGAACUCCGUAAAAAAGUUGAAGGACCCACAGAGUGAACUUUUGUUACUACGCAACUGCACUGGUGUCUCAAAACUAUAUUUCACUCUUCGCACUAUUAACCCUCAAGUCUUACCUGCUGUUACUGAACAUUAUGAUCAGCAACUACUGGGAUACUUACAACAUAUAGUUACCGGUGAUGGAGUUGGUUUUGGUAUUCUUCAUCAAAGAUUUGAUACACUUCCAUUUGGUUUUGGGCUGAUACUAGCCAUUACUGUUACCUGGUGUUGAUGGUGGUUUUUAGUUUAGGGUCAAAAUUGUCAAACCCUGUAUUUAAUGCGCUGUCAUCUUGCAAAGGAACGAAAGCCAUAUGAGGGUGAUGAGUACAUAAACCUCUUCGCUCACGGAUGUAUUGAGCAACCCGAUAUAUUCCGAUAUAUAUAUGUAAUUCAAUCAGAAUGAUGCGUGUAAUAGCGAUCCCAAAUAUUCUGUGAAUUUUAUCUAUUACCGGCAUUAUUUG